CUGUAAUCUUAUCACCUUAAACUCGUUAUGGACAGUGUGAGACUAACAUAAUACAGAUAUAUUAUACAAUAGAAUGUAAUCAUUCGUUCGCGAACUGCGCAGGCGAUGAGCCGCGUGCGAUUUAACGAAAUAGUCAAACCGGAAAAAUCGUGACAAGAAAUUUAAUUAGCCCGACACAAAGUGACAAUGUAUACACAGACGCUAAUAAUAAAAUGUUGAGUGUACUUAAAAAAUAGAUGUAGUUUUUAAACAGUGUUUAUAAAAUGAUUAUUACAUUUUCAGAAUAAGAAAACAAUAAAAUAAUCUCGUGACGCUUGCGAGAAGUUUUUAAAAUGAGCACACUUGAACCCUAAUCAAAUGUGGACUUACUCGAGCGUAGACAUCCCAGCGAGUACAGUCAGCCGGACGGAGAGAAUAAGGAUAUACAUAUCUGAGUGCGUUGUGUGCUUCUGUAUAUUAUUCUUCUUUGUUUGCGUAGGCCUACUCCUUUACUUGUUCUUCCAUUUGUAUAACACCGUGACAAAUACACACAAAAAUAUUGUUACUUUAAUUGAAAGUUGAGGUGGAAAAUUACUGAAUGUGAAAUUACCAAGUGUGUAGUAAAUAGAUCUCGUUCCUGUAAGAUUAUGUAAAAAUAAAAUGUGAUUCUAAUUUAUGAUUGCAUUGUUAAGUUUUAUUUUAUUGUAACAAAGUCAGUAUUUUAUGAUAUUUAUUUGUGUAAUUUUUGUGUGUGUAGUUAUAUUACUUACCUAAACUGCAGAAUGAGGUAUUGUCACAAUUCAAAUGAUGCACUUUUAAUAUUUAGAAAUAAUGAACAGGUAUAUAAUUAAUAACAUAAUUUAGUCAGAUACGUGAACAAAAGCUUAUCUAAUUAAAAGUCAAGGAACAAUAAAAUGUGUACUUAAUAGCGUUAUUUAAUUAUUUCUCCUAUUAAAUUAGAUUGUUUCACGAAUUGUUUAUUAUAUUGAAUUGAAACCUAAUUAUAUGGAAACAAUAUAAAAUGUUAUUCAUCAAUAAAACAAUGAAGAGUAAAUUCAAAAUAAAUAAAAUACGAUAGAUUUAUACCCUUUUUCCUAUCUAUAAUUGGACUGGAUAAUUAAUUAUCACGGAUUUCAGUCCGUGAAAUGGAUUGGCAAAUACGAAGCCUUAUUUAAACUGAGGCGAGAUGAUUAUUUGUAUGAAUGAAUAAUAAAUGUAGAUCUUUAACUAGUAAAUGGAUAGAACGACUAGAAGCUAUGAUCGUGCAUUAAUUAUUUGCAUAGUGCUCAGUCAACAAAUUAAACUGUAUUUACCUAUACAUUAUUAACAAAAUUGAAAUUUAUUUGUAUGAAUCUCGGGAUCUAUCGAUCUUAUUUUAAUUAUGUGUUACAUAUUCUAUAGAUUUAUAGAGCAUAACGUCACGAAAAACAGUGACCAUAUUUUUAUUAAAAUUGUUGUUUUAAUUUUAAAAAAAUAUUAUUAUUAUUAUGCGUCUUAAUAAUAUAAACUUUAAUUAUGUGUAUAACUUCUAGUGGACCUGAGAAAUAUCGUGGCGUUCUCAAAACAUAUUUAAAAAGUAAAAUCAAAUCAAAGUCGCUGUAUACAGCGACAUUGAUUGACUCUUAAAGGUGUUUCUUUAUAUAUAUUUUUUCUAUACAAUUUUAAUAACAAAACUGAAAAUGUAAAAGUAAACAGCCAUCUUGAAUAUUCGUUACCAUUGUAAGCAAAACGAUGUAUUGAUCGUAAAGCUUUACUGUAAAAUAUUUCUAGUCUAUCGUUGUUUAAGAUAUUUAUAAUAUUUUUUUUUUAUGUAAAAUGUUGAUUUUAUUUGCUCGAUUUAAUACUGAUCUGUUCACUUACAUAUAAUAAUAGUACCUUUAAAAGAACGUUCUGUAAUUAUAACCAUUUUUUGUCCAAUUUGAAUGGAUAUAUCCAUUAUGAUAACAUAUCAGAAAUACAAAAUCAUUUUUUUAUGAAAAAAGUAUAUUUUCAUUUGAUGUAUUUAAUUCCUAUACCUAUUUUCCUUGUAAGUCCUCUCCACUCGUUUCUUUAUCAUAAG
rnacentral:misc_RNA from 1 species